GUAGCCUAGUGGUUAGAGCGUCCGCCUUGGAUGUGGGAGCUGGUGGGUUCGAUUCCCGGUUAAGUCA